GAGAGAGAGGGUGAGUUAGUAAAUGCUGUUUGUAGUCGAGUGUCAUGGAAUCACAGCAAAGUACACUGGUAGCAGGGAUAAAGAAAACCUUGAACUAACCAAUGAAUUAAGGAGAAUAAGAGAACAGACACUACGGAGAGAAAAGAGAAGUGAGUCUGGUCUUUCAUCCUCUUAUCUGGGCAUCAGACGGAGGAGAGGAGAGGAAUCCAGAGAGAGGGGGAACGGAUGAUAACAGGGUGCUCAUUCCUGUUUAACACCAUACAGCCAGGAACAGACUACAACAUAUGGCCGGCAUCGUCAUUGGGACUGCUGCGUUACAUUGGGAUUGUUUAAAUGUGCCAGUGUGUGUGUCUGUGAGCUGAUAAUAGCUACCCUAUUGGUAUUCUGAGGAGGGAGCUCCAGGAUCUCUCUCUGCUCCUACCCAGGAUGGCAUCACAGAGACAGGAUUGUGCUCGCCUGUGGAGAGGCCACUGGAAUAGGGCUGAAACCUAGUGGAAUUAUCUCUACCUUUCUGAAUCCUUUCCUUGUCAGUCAGGAGUCACAGUUCCCACCAUGGGGAAUAAAGACAAACUGCUAGCAUCCAGCACCCCAAUACUGACCACCUCUCUACCCCUGCAGAGUGACCCCCCCACAAGGAGCCCAACCACCAGUGCUGCAAUUGUUCCAGUGAGAGAUGUGUACAAUGCACUCUUCUGAUUACAACCGCAUCCAAUGGGAUUUAAUGAAACCUAGAGGUUUGGGGUGUUGAUGCCAGUGUAACAGCUUGUAGAGGACCUUGAGCUUCGGGAAUGUGUCUCCCUGGAAGGAAAUACUCAACUGUGACGCUCCUCCAGAAAACUACAUGAGAUUGUGGUACACGGGUGGAUUUAUCGGCUGUACAUCCCGUCUAGAUUAUGAGACUUUACUCUGUUCACUUCAAAGUUCUGCGUCUGUUCCAGACCGGUUCCUCAGCAGAACCAAGUAGUUGACAGUCCCCCCUUGGGAAUCCCACCUUCUGAUUUGUUUGUGGGCUUAUUUUUUAAAGGAACAAUUUCCCCUCCACUUUUCACUUUUUCUGGUCUUCCUCCUUUCCCCCCACCUCUUCAUCCAGUGAGGAGGAAUAUAUUAUGAAACAAGUCCAUUCUUUCUGAUCCUCCCUUGGUGACAGAGAGAGAAGAGGGACAAACUGCCCUGAAUAGAUAACGAGGAAGGAGAGAGAUAACGGAGAAGAGGAGAUAGGGAAACAGGUAGAGAGAAAGAGAGAGAGAUAGCGAAGAGAUAAAGAAAGCGAGAUAAUUAACUGAGAUUUGUCAGAAUCCUUCUAGAGACGUCCUGCCUCAGCCUAAUUUAGCCUGUCUGUCUGAGAUCCGCUGGAAGCUGAUUUGUUGGUUGGCUGGUUGGUUGGUUGGCUGCUUGUUGCACGAUGGAAGAGGCAGAAAAAGAGGCAGAAUUCUGACCAGGGGGGGCAGCUGAGCACUAGAGGAGGGUAAAAGGUCCCGCUGUACACCCCUGGACCGGAACUGGAUGGCUCAUAAACAGACAGACAGUAAACUGGGAGGCAUUAUAAACAAGCAUUACAAGCAGACAGUCGUCAUUGUCAUUCCAGACUGUGUGUGUGUGUGUGUGAGAGAGAGAGAGAGAGGGGGAGAUAGGGGUAUAGAAGAGAGAAGCAGUCAGUCCUGUGUUGAGUUUGGUGCUGCCUGUCUGCCUGACGGGGACUGAGAGCGAGCGACGCAGCAAUUAGAGGAUCUGACUGCAUCCCCCUCAGCCUCAGACUCCGCUGGCAAGACUAGACAGAAACAAACAAACAGGUAGGGGGACUGCUACUAGAAGGGAAGGACAGGUUAGAUAGAUGUAGUGACAGCAAGAGUGAGAGAGAGAGGGAAGGAAAGAGUAAAGUAGACAGUGAAAAGGAGAGGGAUAGAGAACAGGUGUCUGAAAUCCCCUUCAUCUGCUUGUCAUUUUCUCUUCUGUUUCCCCCUCUUCUUCUGGGAGAGGUAUUGGAUUUAGACAACGAUACUUGGAGCAGUCGAGGCCUUCUGCCGGCCCAGAGGGAAGGAAAUGAGGGAAGGAAAGGGAAGGAGGGGGGCCCUUUUGGAUUGAAACAGACACAUUUUUCAACCCUCGUGUUUCAUUUGACCAAGAGGCUCCUUCCACGUCUAUAGCUCUACUGAGGAGAGGGAGAGAGAUAAACAAAGGGAAGAAGACAGCACAAUACCUUUUCUUUUCCUCCUUCUGUCUUUUACUCUCUACUUUUGUUGAGGGUGUCUGAAGAUUUUUUUUAUCCUCAGUUGUUGCUUUUUCUCCUCACCUCCAAAAGGAAUAUUGUUGCCUAGCUAUCACAGUUCAAGUACCGGAAUCUUCCAUCUUUGUCCUCUCUCUCUCUCAGCCCCCCACCCCUUCUCGGAAACAAUCCGGAAUGCUGUGACAGCCCCACAAGUCCCCCUCCGUGGUAGACGCAUCCCCUUCACCUCACCCCCUCGUCCCUGACCCCCCACCAGUGGCUUUCAUCUCCAUGCCUGUCGAGGGCUGUGCUGACUGGCUACCACACACAUAUAUGGUACACCGCUUCUGAUAUCGUCUGACUCAU